GACGAACGCUGGCGGCGUGCCUAAUACAUGCAAGUCGAACGAAGCUGUUUUAACUGGUGCUUGCACCGACUUAAACAACUGAGUGGCGAACGGGUGAGUAACACGUGGGUAACCUGCCCCAAAGCGGGGGAUAACAUUUGGAAACAGAUGCUAAUACCGCAUAGCCACAGAAACCACAUGGUUUCUGUGUCAAAGAUGGUUUCGGCUAUCACUUUGGGAUGGACCCGCGGCGUAUUAGCUAGUUGGUAAGGUAAUGGCUUACCAAGGCAAUGAUACGUAGCCGAACUGAGAGGUUGAUCGGCCACAUUGGGACUGAGACACGGCCCAAACGCCUACGGGAGGCAGCAGUAGGGAAUCUUCCACAAUGGACGAAAGUCUGAUGGAGCAACGCCGCGUGAGUGAAGAAGGUUUUCGGAUCGUAAAACUCUGUUGUCAGAGAAGAACGUGUGCGAGAGUAACUGUUCGUGCAGUGACGGUAUCUGGCCAGAAAGCCACGGCUAACUACGUGCCAGCCGCCGCCGUAA
rnacentral:rRNA from 1 species